UACGUAGGGCGCAAGCGUUGUCCGGAAUUAUUGGGCGUAAAGAGCUCGUAGGCGGCUUGUCACGUCGGGUGUGAAAUCCCGAGGCUUAACCUCGGGUCUGCAUUCGAUACGGGCUAGCUAGAGUGUGGUAGGGGAGAUCGGAAUUCCUGGUGUAGCGGUGAAAUGCGCAGAUAUCAGGAGGAACACCGGUGGCGAAGGCGGAUCUCUGGGCCAGUACUGACGCUGAGGAGCGAAAGCGUGGGGAGCAAACAGG
rnacentral:rRNA from 1 species